GACAAAAAAAGAAAAUCACAACAAAAGACAUAAAAGAACAGAAUGAAAAUAAAAAACAACAUCCUGUACAAACACUAUGGCCCAAUAAUUUAAGAAAAUAGUGUCUCUAAAACGUUCAUAUUGCUUUGUACCUGCACCGACCAGGCCCACUUCACCCAGUGCAACAGCAGGUAGUUCAGAUACCCCAGAUACCCCACAUACCCCAGGUACCCCACAUACCCCAGGUACCCAGGAUACAUCAGAUACCCCACAUAUCCCAGGUCCCCCAGAUACCCCCAGUCCCGAUGCCCCUCCAGAGGGUGUGGGGUCAGCCUGCAGCCUUGUGGCAGAUGCAGAUGUGGAA